UUAGCGAUAAAUAUGUCAUAUUACAUGAUCAUUGCGUAAAAAGAAAAAAGAAAUGUACGAUUUUUUUUCUUUUCCUUCCUUUUAUUUCACUUUCCUUUCUUGUUCUCCCUCUAAUUUGUGUUUUCCUCCCUCACUAAGAUAAAGUACUCCUUUUUUGUUCUCCUAAUUUGUCUUUGUGACAAACACCCGAAUGAAUCUGCAAAUUACAAUAUUAAAUAUAAAUACACAUGCACAAUCUUUACAAAGGUGAGAUUAUCGUUAAACAUAACUAAUUGAAAAGAAAAUAUUAUACAUGACUAACAUAUGCUAAGAUUUCAAGCUGUAAAUAUAUCUCAUGAACCAAGAAUAACCAAAUAUGUUAGGAUAUUGCCACAAAAGUGAGAUUGUAGUUAAUCCCGACCAACUGAAAAGGAAAAAUUACACUUGACCAACAUCCACCAAAAUUUCAGGCUGCAAAUAUUAUGUCUCCAAAACUGAAAAAUAAUUUGCCUUUGUGACAAACACCUGAAUAAAUCUACAAACUACACUAUUUCAUAUAAAUAAAUAUGCACAAUCUUUACAAAAAUGAUAUUAUCAUUAAACAUAACCAAUUGAAAAAGAAAGAUUAUACAUGACCAACAUCUGCUAAAAUUGCAGGCAGUAUAUGUCGCAUUAACCAAAAAUAACCAAAUAUGUAGAGUAUUGCCACAAAAGUGAGAUUGUAGUUAAUCCUAACCAAUUAAAAAGAAAAAAAUUACACAUUACCAACAUCAUCCAAAAUUUCAGGUUGCAAAUAUUAUGUCUCCAGAACCUGAAAAAUAACCAAGUAUGUUAGAAUAUAUUUUUGAAUUAUGUGCAACUAAGAUUAGUUACUAAUACUAAUUAAAUG
rnacentral:lncRNA from 1 species